CCGGUGUGUAACCAGAUAGCUUUCUAAGACCUCUGUUAGCAAGAAGGGUUUGGUGUGCAGGCACCAAUCCUAAUAUUACGGGAGCUCAGAGGUCUUUGAGUGCAGAGCAAAUAGCUUUUAAGAGCAAUGCCAAUUGCUAAAAGGAUCAUAUUACAAUAAUAGAUUUGAAAGCUUAUACUCCAAACAGCAUUGCGAAUGAGAGCUGACAACAGAGAUGAAUUUUGUGAGCUGCUAGGAGCAGAGCAGGACUUGCUUAUUGCACUAAUGAAUGUGGCUUGUGGGAAAGCUGACACCUCAUUGAAAUCAGGCCUCUCAAUCACCCAUGAUUACUGUGGGACUCAGAAGGGAUGCAGAAGCAGCUACACGAUGCUGGAUGAGGUAAGCAGAAGGCACCGGAAGCUAUAAAAAUGAAAAGAGAUGGAUGGAUAAUUCUGACAUUCUCAGCCUCAGUCUGGAGAGGGAUCUGGAAGGAGCUGGGAGCCUGCUCAGCUGCUGCUUGACGGACUGCUUUUCAUCCAUUUUGAGAGGAAGCCUCAGAAGCUGAGCUCUCGAGCGGAAAUGGAGGACGAAGUGAGGUGCAAGGGAGCAUGUGGCCCAGAAGAGGCAUACAAAUCCUGCCUACACACUCUAUGUGAACAGCCGGAGCUGACUCACGGGCAGCACAGGAUGAGACUGCCUGCCUAGCAAAUUGAGUGGAUACUUCGGUCAGUGCACCUUGAGCUCCAGGAGGCUGUGCAAAGCAGAGCCCCAGGUAGUCCCCUGGUAACAGCAGGCCUGAGGCCGUGCAGCUGCCGGAGUAGAUGCCACACCAACAGGGCUCUCAUCACGGCAGGGAAACCAGGCUGCUGGCAGUGUGUGACAGGGGGAUGCUCUGAGCACAAAGGUGCAACGCAGUGCCCUGCCUGCUGGGUUGGAAUCCCAGGCAGACAAGUGUCACGCUGCAGGACAUUUCUCGGAGAAGAGGGAGGGGUGUGGUUAUCGUUGUCAUUUCACCGUAGCAGAUAGAACGCUGUCUGGAGACACCGCCCUUGCUGGAAAAUUGAUUAAGGUCUGGAUUUGGAAGCAAAAGAUCACCUCUGCUGCUUUGCUAACUGAUAAGAAGAAGUUGGUCUGUGUCUGCAGGAGGGACUUUCCCCAAAACUCUGCACCUGUGGAUACCAGCCAUCAGACACCGCCACUUCACAUGCACCUCCAGCUCUGAGGGUCAGCCGAAGUCAUCCUAGCUUGCAAGGUACACAUAUUCUCUAGUUCUGGGAUCCUAUCCUAUAUAAAGGACAAGAAAUAGGUGUGAGACAGGAGGCAGGAAAUGUGUCAUUUCACUAUAACUGUGCAGAAAAUGGUCAGAUGCUGUGGAUAGUCACUGGGGAAGCUGAGGGAGCCAUGCCCCUGAGCAUCCAUUCCAGCACAGCUCUAAAGGAGUCUAUGGCUGAGUUGCUUGGGAGGCAACACACCUAGCACAGAGAUACACACUUCUGCCAAGGAAGUCCUUCAGUCUUAGGAACUCCUAAAGAUCCACCUGACUUGAACAUCUUUUGCCUUUGUGGUGGAACUCAGCUGCAGAUCAUGGCAGGGAUCUUCACCAGCUUGACACAUUCACCAAAAGAAGAACAAUCUGAGCUAAUAAAAGAAGGAAAUGAAUUAGGAAGCAAUUUGUUGAACUGGAUUUUAUUCUUUACUAAAACUUAAAUCUUGUUUGAUCGGACUUUUGUUUUUAUUGCCUUGGUCUCAGCCUUUUUGCUGUGAUUUUAACAUUUCCUUUUUGGCUUUUGUAGCCUUCAUCCUGAUGUACAGAAUUCAGAAUAAAGGUGAGUUUAGUUAUCCCAUGGGGACAUACGAAGGAAAGACAAAUCAAACUGAACGAGAGCCUUGGUAGAAAACGCAGCGUAUCUAACAAUGCAUAAUUGGCAACAGAAAACGUGUCAGAUGGGAUUUGUUUGGAGAAGAACUUCCAAAGAAGGCUGAGAGCCAAGCUGAAGUAGUCACCUAAAGUUACUUUAAGAUUUAUGUGCUGAUGAUAGACUGUGGGGCAAAGCAUUCACACGGGGAAGGCCACGCUCACUAGUUCACUUGGUCAAUUCUCAAUAAAGAAUUACCAGCCCUGAGUGAUAUUGCUUGGAACAGGUAUCUACCAUUAAAAUUUUAAAAACACGGAAUAAAAUGCAGAUCAUCGUGAUGUAGAUCUUACAGCUCCAGGAUGAUGCUAAAACUACACUCUAUUUGGCUAUGGUAACACGUCCAAUUCUCAUCUGCUUCAGACAGAAAAUGUUUAUAGAAAAAUAACUGAGCAAGGUUAAUCAGAACGUACUCAAACUUUUCUGUCUUAUCAACAAAAUCUUUGUAAAGGUAUUCAAACAGUGGGUUGCUUUCCAGAGAGAAUAAACAGCAAGGUAUCAAUAGCAGAGCUUGUAACAUGCUAUGACCUGAUAGCAGCCUUUCAAUAUCUAAAAGGGAGCUACAGGAAAGAAGAGACAGACUCUUUAGCAGGGUGUGUGGUGGUAUAACAAGGGCAAAUGGUUUCAAGCUUAAAGAGGGUAGAUUUAGGCUGGAUACAAGGAAAAACUCUUUUACUGUGGGGGUGGUGAGGCACUGGAACAGGUUGCCCAGUGCUGUGGUUGAUGCUCCAGAAAGACUGUCAAGGAGAGGCUGGAUCAGGCUCUGAGCAACCUGAUCUAGCUGUGGUGUCCCUGUUCAUUGCAGGGGAGUUGGACUAGAUGGCCUUUAAAGGUCUCUUCUAACUCUGAGGAUUCUAUGACUCUAUGCAGGCUAUGCAGUCUAAGCUGCUACAAAAUAAAGAAAUAGCUGCUCAUUUGGGGAUGUCAGUGAGAGAUCAGCAUAGCGUUGUUGGCAGGCGGGGAAUGCGUUGUUCAAACAGAGAGAGAAAUAAUAAGUCAAGAUACGUGCAAUGUUUCAUCUUUUCUAUUCCCUGUACUCAGGAUUAACGCUUUCAUGUAUGGAAUAUGCUAGAAGAUGGGGAUAAGGUGGCAGAUGAAAUUCAUUAAUGAGAGACACAAGCCAGGGGACAGAUAGAACAUGAUAAAUUGGUCUCCUUGUGCAGAACACUGAUUACUAAACCAUGAUGACUGCUCCGAAAGUAAUGCAUCCUGUUUUAUUAUAUUGGCCCAUUAUAUCAGAGGCAAAUGUUGGUAGUAUGGCAGUAGAUGCUGAACCUCCCCACCAAUAUUCCAUUAUAUUUUGUUGCUGUAAGACAGAUGGUGGUAGAGGGACAGUCUGACAAAAUGGCAUCUGACAUGGAAGUGUGUAUAAAGCAAAGGGGCGGGAACUGAAUUCCUCCUUGUGAAAAAAAUAGCACUCAGCAGUGGCAACAGUGACAGUGGGUCACCUCCACCAGUGCAGAUGUUUACAAGCAUGAAAUGCAGGCUCUGGUUCAUUGCUGGUGAAGAUGCAUAGCAAAUGGUGGUGACUGUGUUGAAAAAGUGCUUUGUAGCUGAGAAUUUACUCUAUCAAGUACUGUUAUUGUGCUCCUUGUAUCCAUUGUUGUUUACAUGGAAAUAAAUAGGAGGCAUUACUUUCAGAGAUACCUAUAUAUGUACUUCUUGCUGCUUAGGGAAGAGAUCUUGGGGUCACUGUGGUUAACGCUCCAAAAAUGGUUAUGGAUGACUCAGAGAAAGUCAGAAAGAUUCUAAGAGAGAAGAGUGAAACAAAAACAAUCGUUUCACUGUCUGAAUUUAUCAUCCACCUACACUGUGGUUAUUGCAGGCAGUUCUGUUCCCCAGCCUCAGAAAGGACUGUCAAGUGAAAGAAAGGUUAGGGAAAGCUACAGGAUGAUCAGAGCUAUGGAAUGUGAGGGGAAAGUAGAGAGACUGCAGUUUUUUGUGUUUUGGUUUCUUUUUUAUCUUGAAAAAGAGAGAAUUGUGAGGAAAUGUAAUAGCUAUAAAACCAAGACAGCGGGGGAGGAGAUAGAUAGGAAGCACUUACUCAUUACAACCUGCAUCAGAAAAACUAGAAUUAUCAGGCAGUAUUAUUGGUUUAAAUCAUUACACACAGAGCACAAUUGUGCUGUGGAAUUCAUUCCCACAGGAUGCCAUGGCAGACAAAAAUAAAUUAAGUCACAAGAAAAUACCAGACAAUUUACAGGGAAUACCUCAAUCAAGACCUUAUUAAUGCAAUAUGCCCUCUCCUGAUCCAGAAAACCUCUAGCUGCUGAUGGCUGGACAGGUACAUCAGAGAAAAAAUCACCUCAUUCAUGAUGCUUUUGCUCUAUCUCUACUCAUCUGCUAUGGACCACAGUCAGAAAUAGGAUGCUGGGUCAGACGGACUGGUACAGAUGACCAUAUUGCCCAGGCUUGCACUUGCUGUGUGAUCUGGGUAACAGGUCACAAUGCCAUCAGAAAGUGAGCAUUAUGUAUAAGAGCUGAGUUUUCCAAAGAAACUGCAGCCAUUAACGGAGCAUUAAGUUGACCAGAAGUGUCAGUAAUAAUAAAAUUAAAUACAGAAGUAAAGUCAUGCUUUUACAAGUCUUUAGAAAUAAUAGUAACCUCAUUCAAUCAACAGAAGAUUGAUUCAUUGGAUACCUGCUUUCCUUGCCAGGUUCUUUUUUCCCUUUGGGAGUGCAGAACAAAUAUAAGAAACCAAUCAUCAGGGUCCUUAAUUUACACCCAAAUUAAAGAAACAUCAUUUAUUACAAGGAGGAGUUAUUGCUCCACUCAAGGUGGGAAUGUGAAACUUUUUAAAGCCAGUGACUUUUUACAGUUCAGUCACAAAACCACUUCCCACAGGGUGUCUGCUAGGUGGCCCUCAUGGUGCUUUGCUGCAAGAAAAGCUCCCACGCAAAGGAACAGAUUGAGGUACUCUGUGAAAGAGUGAAAAACCCGUAGCUUUUGUCUCAGUGUAUAAAAGCUCUUCCUAAUUCUAUUUCAAGACAGAUGAACUUUUGAUAAAUAAUAACCCAUCUGGGUUCUGCAAAUGCCUUGAUAGCCAUAGAGUGAGUGCCUACCAUAGCACAGGUCUUUCUAGACAAUGCUACAGAGGCCCCUCCCCCAU
ensembl:lncRNA